GCGGAGCUUGUAGUGAGACAAGAUCGCGCCACUGCACUCCAGCCUGGGCAACAGAGCCAGACUCCGUCUCAAAAAAAAAAAAAAAAAAAAGUUUGGAGGGCUGAGAGACAAGACUGUUUGCCUCUUCCCCCUCAAAGAGCUACAGAAGAAUUUUUCUUUUUCUUUUUUUGAGAUAGUUUCACUCUGUCACUCAGACUGGACGAAGUGCAGUGGCACCAUCUCGGCUCACUGAAACCUCUGCCUCUAGGAUUCAAGCCAUAAUAUGCCACCAUGCCUGGCCACAGAAUAAUUUUUCUAAGAAGGAGAAUCUUAUUGAGCAAAACGUCUUGAAUGAGCCAAUUGGGAAGGGCGGCAAGUCUUCAACAGGUGGCAAAACACAGGGAAAGCCCUGGUAAAGGGAGGAAAAGAACUAGGGGCUACUCCUGAGGACUGGGCGGGAGGGAGGGAGAGAGGAUGCCUCACCAAAAUGGCGGCGGCGCAGGGGACUUCGCAGGGGCGAUACAUGCAAUCUUCCAUCUUCAGCUGUGGGCGCUGCUGUGACGUAAAAUCCAUAAAGCACCCUCCAGAAACCACUUUCCGGAAACCACCCUCCAGAAACUGUCAACUCUGUGGCCCACACAUGCCUGGGGUGACGGGGGCUUCUGUGAGAGUGUGAAUGCUCUGAGCCAAGAAGACAGCCUGCUCUGCUCAGCUGCAGCUGCGGUAACACCACCACAGAUUCGGCGGCUUCAGUAACAGUGACUGUCUCAUCAUCCUGGAGGCUGGAGGUUCCAGAUCAAGGUGCUGGCCAGCAGAUGAACUGCCAAAGCCCGUAAAUGCACAUAAGUGGUUUGGCCAAAGUCCACCAGAGAGCAGGAAGAAGGAUGGAGAUCCUGCAUUCAAUGAACAAUGUGAUGCUACCACCUUGGGAAGAUUUUUUGCAAAGAAUUCAAAGAAUAAUUUAGAUUAUUAGUGCUGGAAGAAGCUUGAAGACUACCCUCUCCAAAGCCUCUUUUUACAGAUGAGGAAACUGAGGCCUAGAGGUUGGAAAUGAUUUACCCAACAUCCCACAGUCUUCCAGUUCCAAGGCUGGAACCAGAACUGGCUUCACACAGGCUUGCCUCCUCUCAUCUUGACCAGGGCCCUACAGGCUCUGAAUCGCUUCUCCAGACAAGACCAGACCAGACCAGCAAGCUCAGAUCAGAACCGCGUUUUCUGCCAUGGCAUUGCUCCCCAGCCACAGAGGCCUCGGGCAGUCCGGUUCUGCAUCAGUGGAGGAGGUGGUCCAAGUUGUGUUUGCUCAUCAAGGGGGACCCACAGCUCCCAUGGCUGAUUGACAAACCCAGCGACCUAAGCCCGUUGCUAUUCACAGAUGGCCCAGCCCUCAUCCUAAGGCCAUCAGGAAACCUCAGCUUCUUUCUCUGGUGACUGAAUUCAGUGUUCUAACUCCCUACCUUACACAGCUAAGCAUGGAGCUACUAAUAGCUCUGUUAUCAUGUUCCCAUUUUAAUACAAACAAACAGCCGUAGCCCAGGAAAGAGAUUUGUCAGAGGUUGCUUGCCUUCUGCUCUGGCAAGAGACCUUCACAGCACCAAGCACCUGGCUGUUCUGUGGGGUUUAAGUAAAAUGAUGACUCUUGUUUCACACCCUCCCCUUAGCCUCCUAUUUCUUCCCUUCCUCCACCUUUGAGGCCACCUAGAAAUUUUGAUGUAGAAAAUUCCAAUCUUGUAGAACAUCAGGACUGGGAAAACCUUAGAGAUUCCCUGCUCUCAUGACCCAGUGAUCAGAAACAGAACUGACAUAUUCAUCCUUCUGGUCAUGACAGGCUGGGCCGGUUAUUGAGUUAUUGCUUGUCACCUCCAAAUCCCCUACAUUCAGAUGUUGGGGGACUCUGCAAACUGCAUUUCUGCUUUGCCAACUGCUCUUCAAGAAGCUCUGCCAGGAGGGACUAGAGGCCAGAGGAGGAAGAAGGACAGGGAACACACUCCUUCCGGUCUGUUUCUUGUUUCUGUGAGCAGCACCCUGGCCCACUGCUUCACCCAGGCAGUAGCAGUUCCCUCCCUCAGCAGUGAAAGAACCAAGUUUGCAGUUUUACUGAUUCCUGCAGAGCCAGCCACAUGGUGCUCCCUCAGACACGCCAGCUCCAGCCAUGUGGAGCCCCCUCCAUGGAGCUCUGAGGUUCACUUCUGUGGGGCUCCUCCUC